AUAUGAGCCUUCCAAGUCAUGCAAUCUCUGCCAUCCUUCUGUGGGAUCACCACUGCCAGACAAGUCAACUGCAAUGCAAAGCCAAGGAGCAGGAAACCCACUUACUUUCAUGUUUGGCUUUCCCUGGGAGAAGUUGGAGGACGCGGCGGAAUUUCUUUCUUCUUUGUAUCUGUGUUGGCUAAAGCAGGACAGAGGAGCUUGAAAAGGCUCGCCCUCCUCAAGGAACGCUAUCUGAUUCGUAAGCAUUCCUAGAGGUUAAGGCUGGUGACUAUCAAGAAAGCAAAUACUUCACGCAAGGCUUAUGAUAAUGAAUUGAAUAAUAAAAAACAAUCAUAAAACAUCUCCAUAUUGCAUCCUGGAGAUUCACUAGGAUGAUUUUCACUAAAUGGAUUUUUACGUGGAAUGGAUUUUUUUUCCAAAGUUCAACGAGAGUCAAGACUACAUCCGUACAUGUUUGGGAGCCAAAAAUUGUAAGUAAAGGAGAAAACAUCUGUGUGGGGAAGUUUUUGAAUAAUUGCACUGUUUGUUUAAUGAUAUAGCUGAUGUUAUGAGU